rnacentral:tRNA from 1 species
CCCUAAGUAGUGCAAAUGUUUAACACAGUCAGCUGCUAACUGAAAAGUUGGUGGUUCAAGACCACUCAGAGGCA